rnacentral:rRNA from 1 species
GGGGAAUAUUGGACAAUGGACCGCAAGUCUGAUCCAGCAAUUCUGUGUGCACGAUGACGUUUUUCGGAAUGUAAAGUGCUUUCAGUCGGGAAGAAGUCAGUGACGGUACCAACAGAAGAAGUGACGGCUAAAUACGUGCCAGCAGCCGCGGUAAUACGUAUGUCACGAGCGUUAUCCGGAUUUAUUGGGCGUAAAGCGCGUCUAGGUGGUUAUAUAAGUCUGAUGUGAAAAUGCAGGGCUCAACUCUGUAUUGCGUUGGAAACUGUAUAACUAGAGUACUGGAGAGGUAAGCGGAACUACAAGUGUAGAGGUGAAAUUCGUAGAUAUUUGUAGGAAUGCCGAUGGGGAAGCCAGCUUACUGGACAGAUACUGACGCUGAAGCGCGAAAGCGUGGGUAGCAAACAGGAUUAGAUACCCUGGUAGUCCACGCCGUAAACGAUGAUUACUAGGUGUUGGGGGUCGAACCUCAGCGCCCAAGCAAACGCGAUAAGUAAUCCGCCUGGGGAGUACGUACGCAAGUAUG